GUACUUUGGAAGGAAGUAAUGCCUCCUAGUCCACCCCACAAAAAAGACUUCAGAUGUGGAACUUUGAGCAAGUUCAGUCACAGACUUAAAAAGAAACAGCCUGGCCCAUGAGAGCCUGCUUCAGCCAGAACAGCAUGAAAACGGUGGAAAAGAAUCUGCAGAACCAGGUUUCUCCAUGUUCCAGGAAUUUUAUUAUCAGUCUCAGCCGUGCUGUUCUGGGCAGGAAGAAAUGAAAGAAGGAGGAAGGAAGCCACGUCUCCGGAACACUGCCCAUGUGCCCAGCACAGUGACUGCUGUUGUGUAGUCAGCAUCUCAUCGGGGAGGACAGUCUGCCGACUAAACACCAAACCCCGGGUCCCCACAUGCAUGUCAGCUCCACAAGAAGCUUCAUCCUGA
rnacentral:lncRNA from 10 species